rnacentral:rRNA from 1 species
AUGGUCUGGGUACCGCUUGAGGAGAUCAUUUGGCAGGGACUGCUCGGUGAACCUCCAGUCCCCGUAGAUGGCGGAGGACAUCUCCACGGCGUACUUCCCCGGGUACAUGGUCCUCUCCAGGAUGCCGCCGGCGUUGAGCAGUAUGCUCCUUGCCAGCGUGUUGAUCUGCAUCGUGUCCUUGAAGUGCGGCUCCAGGAGCUUGUGGAUGGGGUGCAUGGCGCUCAGCUGCCUCCUGGUCGCGAUGAUGAACGGCUCCACCGCCGCGUGCGUGAACAACCUUCAUUUGGCCACCCGUGUCAGUGUGUGGAGCUCUGUUCAGAUGCUGCUGAUUACGACUAG